rnacentral:rRNA from 1 species
UACGAGGGGGGCGAGCGUUGUUCGGAAUUAUUGGGCGUAAAGGGUGCGUAGGCGGUUUGGUAAGUCUUGUGUGAAAUCUCCAGGCUCAACUUGGAGUCUGCACGAGAAACUGCCGGGCUUGAGUGUGGGAGAGGUGAGUGGAAUUCCUGGUGUAGCGGUGAAAUGCGUAGAUAUCAAGUGGAACACCAGUGGCGAAGGCGAGUCCCUGGACAACUCCUGACACUGAGGCACGAAAGCUAGGGGAGCAAACAGG